rnacentral:rRNA from 1 species
CUACGUGCCAGCAGCCGCGGUAAUACGUAGGUGGCAAGCGUUGUCCGGAAUUAUUGGGCGUAAAGCGCGCGCAGGCGGAUUAGUCAGUCUGUCUUAAAAGUUCGGGGCUUAACCCCGUGAUGGGAUGGAAACUGCUGAUCUAGAGUAUCGGAGAGGAAAGUGGAAUUCCUAGUGUAGCGGUGAAAUGCGUAGAUAUUAGGAAGAACACCAGUGGCGAAGGCGACUUUCUGGACGAAAACUGACGCUGAGGCGCGAAAGCCAGGGGAGCGAACGGGAUUAGAUACCCCGGUAGUCCUGGCCGUAAACGAUGGGUACUAGGUGUAGGAGGUAUCGACCCCUUCUGUGCCGGAGUUAACGCAAUAAGUACCCCGCCUGGGGAGUACGACCGCAAGGUUGAAACUCAAAGGAAUUGACGGGGGCCCGCACAAGCGGUGGAGUAUGUGGUUUAAUUCGACGCAACGCGAAGAACCUUACCAGGUCUU